AAGUCGUAACAAGGUCUCCGUUGGUGAACCAGCGGAGGGAUCAUUACAGAGUUGCAAAACUCCCUAAACCAUUGUGAACGUUACCUCCAACCGUUGCUUCGGCGGGCGGCACCGGGUCCCCCCCGGUGCCCCUCGGCCCUCGCGGGCGCCCGCCGGAGGUUACCAAACUCUUUGAUACCUUAUGGCCUCUCUGAGUCUUCUGUACUGAAUAAGUCAAAACUUUCAACAACGGAUCUCUUGGUUCUG
rnacentral:misc_RNA from 1 species